rnacentral:rRNA from 1 species
AGCGAACGCUGGCGGCAGGCUUAACACAUGCAAGUCGAGCGGGCAUCCUUGUGGUGUCAGCGGCAGACGGGUGAGUAACGCGUGGGAACGUGCCCUUCGGUUCGGAAUAACUCAGGGAAACUUGAGCUAAUACCGGAUACAUGCGAGAGCAGAAAGGUUUAUCUGCCGAAGGAUCGGCCCGCGUCUGAUUAGCUAGUUGGUGAGGUUAUGGCUCACCAAGGCGACGAUCAGUAGCUGGUCUGAGAGGAUGAUCAGCCACACUGGGACUGAGACACGGCCCAGACUCCUACGGGAAGCAGCAGUGGGGAAUAUUGGACAAUGGGGGCAACCCUGAUCCAGCCAUGCCGCGUGAGUGAUGACGGCCUUAGGGUUGUAAAGCUCUUUUCUCCGGGACGAUAAUGACGGUACCGGAGGAAUAAGCCCCGGCUAACUUCGUG